GGUCAAGUGAAGAAGCGCAUACGGUGGAUGCCUUGGCAGUCAGAGGCGAUGAAAGACGUGGUAGCCUGCGAAAAGCUUCGGGGAGUCGGCAAACAGACUUUGAUCCGGAGAUCUCUGAAUGGGGGAACCCACCUAGGAUAACCUAGGUAUCUUGUACUGAAUCCAUAGGUGCAAGAGGCGAACCAGGGGAACUGAAACAUCUAAGUACCCUGAGGAAAAGAAAUCAACCGAGAUUCCCUUAGUAGUGGCGAGCGAACGGGGAUUAGCCCUUAAGCUUCAUUGAUUUUAGCGGAACGCUCUGGAAAGUGCGGCCAUAGUGGGUGAUAGCCCCGUACGCGAAAGGAUCUUUGAAGUGAAAUCGAGUAGGACGGAGCACGAGAAACUUUGUCUGAACAUGGGGGGGACCAUCCUCCAAGGCUAAAUACUACUGACUGACCGAUAGUGAACCAGUACCGUGAGGGAAAGGCGAAAAGAACCCCGGAGAGGGGAGUGAAAUAGAACCUGAAACCGUAUGCGUACAAGCAGUGGGAGCCUACUUGUUAGGUGACUGCGUACCUUUUGUAUAAUGGGUCAGCGACUUAUAUUCAGUGGCAAGCUUAACCGUAUAGGGUAGGCGUAGCGAAAGCGAGUCUUAAUAGGGCGUUUAGUCGCUGGGUAUAGACCCGAAACCGGGCGAUCUAUCCAUGAGCAGGUUGAAGGUUAGGUAACACUGACUGGAGGACCGAACCCACUCCCGUUGAAAAGGUAGGGGAUGACUUGUGGAUCGGAGUGAAAGGCUAAUCAAGCUCGGAGAUAGCUGGUUCUCCUCGAAAGCUAUUUAGGUAGCGCCUCAUGUAUCACUCUGGGGGGUAGAGCACUGUUUCGGCUAGGGGGUCAUCCCGACUUACCAAACCGAUGCAAACUCCGAAUACCCAGAAGUGCCGAGCAUGGGAGACACACGGCGGGUGCUAACGUCCGUCGUGAAAAGGGAAACAACCCAGACCGCCAGCUAAGGUCCCAAAGUUGUGGUUAAGUGGUAAACGAUGUGGGAAGGCUUAGACAGCUAGGAGGUUGGCUUAGAAGCAGCCAUCCUUUAAAGAAAGCGUAAUAGCUCACUAGUCGAGUCGGCCUGCGCGGAAGAUGUAACGGGGCUCAAACCACACACCGAAGCUGCGGGUGUCACGUAAGUGACGCGGUAGAGGAGCGUUCUGUAAGCCUGUGAAGGUGAGUUGAGAAGCUUGCUGGAGGUAUCAGAAGUGCGAAUGCUGACAUGAGUAACGACAAUGGGUGUGAAAAACACCCACGCCGAAAGACCAAGGGUUCCUGCGCAACGUUAAUCGACGCAGGGUUAGUCGGUUCCUAAGGCGAGGCUGAAAAGCGUAGUCGAUGGGAAACAGGUUAAUAUUCCUGUACUUCUGGUUACUGCGAUGGAGGGACGGAGAAGGCUAGGCCAGCUUGGCGUUGGUUGUCCAAGUUUAAGGUGGUAGGCUGAAAUCUUAGGUAAAUCCGGGGUUUCAAGGCCGAGAGCUGAUGACGAGUCGUCUUUUAGAUGACGAAGUGGUUGAUGCCAUGCUUCCAAGAAAAGCUUCUAAGCUUCAGGUAACCAGGAACCGUACCCCAAACCGACACAGGUGGUCGGGUAGAGAAUACCAAGGCGCUUGAGAGAACUCGGGUGAAGGAACUAGGCAAAAUGGCACCGUAACUUCGGGAGAAGGUGCGCCGGCUAGGGUGAAGGAUUUACUCCGUAAGCUCUGGCUGGUCGAAGAUACCAGGCCGCUGCGACUGUUUAUUAAAAACACAGCACUCUGCAAACACGAAAGUGGACGUAUAGGGUGUGACGCCUGCCCGGUGCCGGAAGGUUAAUUGAUGGGGUUAGCGCAAGCGAAGCUCUUGAUCGAAGCCCCGGUAAACGGCGGCCGUAACUAUAACGGUCCUAAGGUAGCGAAAUUCCUUGUCGGGUAAGUUCCGACCUGCACGAAUGGCGUAACGAUGGCGGCGCUGUCUCCACCCGAGACUCAGUGAAAUUGAAAUCGCUGUGAAGAUGCAGUGUAUCCGCGGCUAGACGGAAAGACCCCGUGAACCUUUACUGUAGCUUUGCACUGGACUUUGAGCCUGCUUGUGUAGGAUAGGUGGGAGGCUUUGAAGCGUGGACGCCAGUUCGCGUGGAGCCAUCCUUGAAAUACCACCCUGGCAUGCUUGAGGUUCUAACUCUGGUCCGUAAUCCGGAUCGAGGACAGUGUAUGGUGGGCAGUUUGACUGGGGCGGUCUCCUCCUAAAGAGUAACGGAGGAGUACGAAGGUGCGCUCAGACCGGUCGGAAAUCGGUCGCAGAGUAUAAAGGCAAAAGCGCGCUUGACUGCGAGACAGACACGUCGAGCAGGUACGAAAGUAGGUCUUAGUGAUCCGGUGGUUCUGUAUGGAAGGGCCAUCGCUCAACGGAUAAAAGGUACUCCGGGGAUAACAGGCUGAUACCGCCCAAGAGUUCAUAUCGACGGCGGUGUUUGGCACCUCGAUGUCGGCUCAUCACAUCCUGGGGCUGAAGCCGGUCCCAAGGGUAUGGCUGUUCGCCAUUUAAAGUGGUACGCGAGCUGGGUUUAGAACGUCGUGAGACAGUUCGGUCCCUAUCUGCCGUGGACGUUUGAGAUUUGAGAGGGGCUGCUCCUAGUACGAGAGGACCGGAGUGGACGAACCUCUGGUGUUCCGGUUGUCACGCCAGUGGCAUUGCCGGGUAGCUAUGUUCGGAAAAGAUAACCGCUGAAAGCAUCUAAGCGGGAAACUUGCCUCAAGAUGAGAUCUCACUGGGAACUUGAUUCCCCUGAAGGGCCGUCGAAGACUACGACGUUGAUAGGCUGGGUGUGUAAGCGUUGUGAGGCGUUGAGCUAACCAGUACUAAUUGCCCGUGAGGCUUGACCAU
rnacentral:rRNA from 1 species